UGGAGUCCACAAUACGCAGUCCACCC
rnacentral:piRNA from 1 species